UUGGAGGGGCAAGUCUGGUGCCAGCAGCCGCGGUAAUUCCAGCUCCAAUAGCGUAUAUUAAAGUUGUUGCAGUUAAAAAGCUCGUAGUUGAAUUUCGGGAUCAAUAUGUCGGUCGUGCUUUUGGUACGUACUGGCAUCAUUGGUUUCUCCCUUCUGACAAACCAUGAUGUCAUUAAUUUGGUGUUAUGGGGAGUUAGGACUGUUACUUUGAAAAAAUUAGAGUGUUUAAAGCAGGCAUUAGCUUGAAUACAUUAGCAUGGAAUAAUGAAAUAGGACGUUUGACCCUAUUUUGUUGGUUUCUAGGAUCGACGUAAUGAUUAAUAGGGAUAGUUGGGGGCAUUAGUAUUCAAUUGUCAGAGGUGAAAUUCUUGGAUUUAUUGAAGACUAACUACUGCGAAAGCAUUUGCCAAGGAUGUUUUCAUUAAUCAAGAACGAAAGUUAGGGGAUCGAAGACGAUCAGAUACCGUCGUAGUCUUAACCAUAAACUAUGCCGACUAGGGAUCGGAUGAUGUUAAUUUUUUAAUGACUCAUUCGGCGCCUUACGGGAAAC
rnacentral:rRNA from 1 species